GCAUGAAUUCUAGGCAGGUUUAAAAAGAACUAACUAAAUACAAGAGAAGCAUAUAAUAGACCUUGAAAUUCCCCCUUAACAAUGAACGAAUACUGAUGACUUGUGAGGUUGAUAUAGCUUAAAACAAAAACAUUUCUCUCAAGGGAAGUUUAACUCAAUAGUCUCUUACAAGCUUAUUCUAUAGAGAAGUCAGUUUUUUUAAUGCUACCAAAAGCCAUUUCAUAUCCCCUCCCACACAAGACUUUCUUCCUGAAUUUGUGGGAAGGAGGACAAACUAUAGAACUCCCUAUACCUUGACAGAUGCAGAUGGUAUUUACCUCAGUACAAUUGACAGCAGAAUUUAUGGCGCUAAAGGACCUGAGAAAUUUGACAGCGGCUUCAUAACGAAUGGAUGUUCUAGUAGCUCAGCUGCAGUUGGUCGAUCAUUUGGAUUAACUCGCAAACAGCUUUUUAUGAAAUCCUGAGCUUCUGUCGAUAAGGUAUCUGGUAUAGGAGGAGGUUCACCUCUGCCUAUCCUGAACAGUGCUUGCAUCCCUUCCAAGUGAGAAUAAGGAAUUUGUCCAGUUAACAUCUCUAAGACAGUGCAACCCAAACUCCAUAUAUCAGCAGGAGUACCAUAUCCAUUGCUCUUCCUAUUAACAACCUCUGGGGCCAUCCAGAAUGCAGUUCCUUUGCAAGACUUGAUGUUAUUCAUUUGCGUUGCCUUUGCCAGUCCAAAAUCUGCAAGCUUCACUGAACCAUUAGCAUCCACCAAUAUAUUGGCACACUUAAUGUCCCUGUGCAUCACUUCUCUGGAAUGAAGAUAAUGCAACCCACUCAAGAUUUGCCUGGUGUAAUCUGAAACAUGGGAAUCACGCAAGCGAUACUUGCGAUAGACACUAGCAAGUGAACCUUUUGUAACAAGCUCAAGAAAGAUAUACAGUUUGCUCUCGUCCUUGUUUGUGCCAUGAUAGCGAACUAUGUUUCUAUGUCGAAAACGACUUAGAAGAGAAAUUUCCUGUUCAAGUUGAAGAAGGCUUUGUUGGUUUCCUGGGUCAAUCAACGAAACUUCUUUGACGGCAAAAAAGAAUCCAUCAUCG
rnacentral:misc_RNA from 1 species